GUUACCGGUUAAUAUUCUAGCAUGAAUAAUAAACAUUUAUCAUGAAAUAAGGAAAUAAAUAAUAACAUUAUUAUUGCCUCUAGGGCAUAUUUCCUUCAACAUGCAACAUGAUGAAGCUAUCAUGCAUCGACUUACUCUGCUCGGGUUACCUCGUAACCAUCACAUACAUCACUUACCAACAUCGGACAUCACAUGAUUAUCUCAGGAUCAAAUCAAGCUUGGUAUAAACAAUACCUUAGUAAUCAUUACAUGGCCACAAGGAGCUUGAUCUUUACCCACGAUUCUCGCACAACAUCAUGAAUAUCCAACAACUCGGUAUCCUCGAUACCACGGUGAUCAUCUCACGAUCACAACCAAAUAUCCAUCAACUCGGUAUCCUCGAUACCACGGUGAUCAUCUCACGAUCACAACCAAUCUCUUUCUCAUCAUCGAACCAGGGUUGUUAUAAAUCAAGUUAUUAUUAUUACUGUUGACCCAUAGUGUGACCAACUACGAACUGGGCCCUUAUCCGCAGGUGCGGCUAUCGAUAGAUUUAAUACACUCUGCAGAGGUAGAGCACUUUACCCACACCACGAAACCCAUGGCCUCGCACUCCCAUUCGGGUGGACCAACGGCAUUCCGAUAGAACUCUCCCAUUGCCAUGACACUCUUACGACCACUCCGACCAACUCCCCACUGGGCUUAGUCCUGGGUGACCCAGCCUACCAAAGGCAAAACUACCACCGUCGUGGAAAAUAAACAGUCCCAAACGGGGACACAAUACCAUUACAACAAUGGGUCCACAAGGUUAUGUCUGCUUACUGGGCCAGGGUAACGCAUGCCCAUAACCUUCCCUCAUUGGAGGCACCUACAAAAGGCAUGACAACGCACGACUAACGGCCUCCCCAUAAAGGCAAAUGUGGCUACACUUGUCAGCUCGAUAUGCUGGCACCAUGACUCAGCCAACAAUUGUUCAAGUUCAAUUAAGUCCGGUUAAACUUGAAUGCAAUAAGCUGAGUCAUAUGAAAAUAACAUGAUGCAACUACAAUACAUGAGCAUGACACCAACAUAAGCAUGGUUGUGCAUCAUUACUUCUUAACAAUACCACAACAAAUCAUAUAUCUAACUGAGCAUGGCAUACUGACUAGCAUGAACAUCACAAGUAUACACUUCUCAGAAACAUAGCAUGAGCACUAACAUCAACAAUAAAUAUCAUGCAAGAUCAUAUCAACAAUGCUACCAUGCAAGCAUUUAACCAAUUGGAUGCAAAGGAACAUGCAUAACAACGGCACUCGAAACAGACGACAGUCAUGCACCGAAGACCAUCACCGACAUCAACAUGUACUACUAGAAAGCAUAAGCAUAUGAAAAGAAUACUAGCAGGAAUACAUGAUAACCAAGUGCAAGACGACAUAGCACGAGAGUGAACAUGAAACUCUAAGCAUCACCGGAACAACGGUAACCAUAUUUUAAACGAGCAAACAUUGAUUAAAUAUUGAAGUUCAAAACCAUGGCUACUACAUGACUAUGAUGCAAGUGGGUAUUGUGGCUUGCCUGGGGAUGAAGAAAGCACCGGGGAGAAGUGCGAGAAGGAUCGCAGAAAGAUUUGCCGAAAACAGUUCUCUCCGGAGGGGCUGUUUACGUGCAAGGGAAAAUGGUCAUUUUCGAUAUGUCAAACCACAGUGAAAAUGAUGUAAACAGAACGGGCUCGACAAGACGAAGAUGUGGGCAUUGGAUUCACCUUAAUCGGAGUUACGAGCAAAAAGAUAUAGUUGCUUUUCUGCCAAGGACCAUUUGUAAAUAAAAUCAUCACAAACAGGCCCUCAGCCGGAAAAACAGAACACGCACUUCAGGAAAUACGUGUUUGCCUCCGGGAAACGUAUUCUGAGCAGAAACAGAAAGAAAUAUGCUUUUAGUGAAAGAAAACGGACUCUGGCUGAAGGAGAACCAAAAUACGCUUUCCAGAAAUAGAAAGUGUACUCAUUGGAAGUACGUCGCCACUUAUCUGAUGUGGCGGGGGCGGGGUCAACGCGUGUGGCUGCCAGGUGGGGUUGCGUGGGGAGUUAGGCCCGCCUGGCCUCUGUCUUCUUCUUCCUCGCCCUGUUCCCGCACGGGACAGAGGAGGCAGGGGAG
rnacentral:lncRNA from 1 species